rnacentral:rRNA from 1 species
UACGUAGGGUGCGAGCGUUAAUCGGAAUUACUGGGCGUAAAGCGCGCGUAGGCGGCUUUGUAAGUUAGAGGUGAAAGCCCGGGGCUCAACCCCGGAACUGCCUUUAAGACUGCAUCGCUUGAAUCCGGGAGAGGUGAGUGGAAUUCCGAGUGUAGAGGUGAAAUUCGUAGAUAUUCGGAAGAACACCAGUGGCGAAGGCGGCUCACUGGACCGGUAUUGACGCUGAUGUGCGAAAGCGUGGGGAGCAAACAGG